GGUGGGGUACCCAAGCCUGGUCCAAGGGGCGUGACUGGAAAUCACGUGUGCAACCGCACGCGCGGGUUCAAAUCCCGUCCCCACCA
rnacentral:tRNA from 1 species